UCUUUGAUUAAACCGAGCCAAUCACAAAACAGAAUUAGUGGUUUUAGUACAGAAUCUGUACUAAAACCACUAAUUCUGUUUUGUGAUUGGCUCGGUUUAAUCAAAGAAUC